rnacentral:lncRNA from 1 species
AAAACGAUCGACUUACAAAGGUGUUUGAGAAUGGGCUCAACUUUGAAUCGAGGAUUGUGGUUUAUGUUUUUUUUUUGAAAUUGGUUUGGAUUGACGAUGAAAUCGAGUUAGUUCGAUUAACUAAAUUAAAUAAUAUUAGGUAUCAAAAUUAUUUACUUAAAUCAAAUAAUCCAGUUAAUUUAGAAUCGGUUAAUAGUAAUGAACUAAUUGGCCAAAAUUUAAUUAAUUAAUUUAUUAACGAAAAAGUGUUUAAGUGACGGUAUCAC